rnacentral:lncRNA from 1 species
GGGUCCCGGCGGCCUUAAGCCGAUCUGGAUCCUAGUGCCAGUGAUGGUUCGGGCCGUUACAGAGGGGUACCGGUUUCCGGGUCGUUACAGAUUGGUAUCAGAGCAUAGGGCCUCUAGAGUACGAUGUGCUGAAUCAGUAUACUCUGGGAUCAGAGCUAUCUCACAUCGGAAAGAGGUUAAGAUGUCAGAUUUGUAGAUCUUCGAGUACGGUGUGUUGAGCGAAGAUGCUCAAGGAUCAGAUUCCCACAUCGGAAAGAGGUGUUGUCUUAUAUAGGAGGGAAAGCACAAU